rnacentral:rRNA from 1 species
GCGUUAAGUUGCAGGGUAUAGACCCGAAACCCGGUGAUCUAGCCAUGGGCAGGUUGAAGGUUGGGUAACACUAACUGGAGGACCGAACCGACUAAUGUUGAAAAAUUAGCGGAUGACCUGUGGCUGGGGGUGAAAGGCCAAUCAAACCGGGAGAUAGCUGGUUCUCCCCGAAAGCUAUUUAGGUAGCGCCUCGUGAAUUCAUCUCCGGGGGUAGAGCACUGUUUCGGCUAGGGGGCCAUCCCGGCUUACCAACCCGAUGCAAACUGCGAAUACCGGAGAAUGUUAUCACGGGAGACACACGGCGGGUGCUAACGUCCGUCGUGAAGAGGGAAACAACCCAGACCGCCAGCUAAGGUCCCAAAGUCAUGGUUAAGUGGGAAACGAUGUGGGAAGGCCCAGACAGCCAGGAUGUUGGCUUAGAAGCAGCCAUCAUUUAAAGAAAGCGUAAUAGCUCACUGGUCGAGUCGGCCUGCGCGGAAGAUGUAACGGGGCUAAACCAUGCACCGAAGCUGCGGCAGCGAACGUAUCACCCAAGACAACUUUACGGAGUUGACGAUUGACGGAGCGAAGCGACGUCAAAGCGUUCAUUAAAGUCGAGUUGGCUUAGGGAUACGUUCGUUGGGUAGGGGAGCGUUCUGUAAGCCUGUGAAGGUGUGUCGUGAGGCAUGCUGGAGGUAUCAGAAGUGCGAAUGCUGACAUAAGUAACGAUAAAGCGGGUGAAAAGCCCGCUCGCCGGAAGACCAAGGGUUCCUGUCCAACGUUAAUCGGGGCAGGGUGAGUCGACCCCUAAGGCGAGGCCGAAAGGCGUAGUCGAUGGGAAACGGGUUAAUAUUCCCGUACUUGGUGUUACUGCGAAGGGGGGACGGAGAAGGCUAUGUUGGCCGGGCGACGGUUGUCCCGGUUUAAGCGUGUAGGUGUGUGUUCCAGGUAAAUCCGGUUCACUUUAACACUGAGGCGUGACGACGAGGCACUACGGUGCU